GACGAACCGAGCGAACGUUGUUCGGAAUCACUGGGCUUAAAGGGUGCGUAGGCGGGCUCGUCAGUCGGGGGUGAAAUCCCACGGCCCAACCGUGGAAGUGCCUCCGAUACUGCGGACCUAGAGGGGAACAGGGGCAUGCGGAACUUCCGGUGGAGCGGUGAAAUGCGUAGAUAUCGGAAGGAACACCGGUGGCGAAAGCGGCGUGCUGGAUUCCUACUGACGCUGAGGCACGAAAGCCAGGGGAGCAAACGGG
rnacentral:rRNA from 1 species